GACGAACGCUGGCGGCGUGCCUAACACAUGCAAGUCGAACGGAGUUUUCUUUUCGGAGAUUUCGGUCAAAGAGUUGAAAAACUUAGUGGCGGACGGGUGAGUAACGCGUGAGUAACCUGCCGUUCAGAGGGGGACAACAGUUGGAAACGACUGCUAAUACCGCAUAACGUAUCUCUGGGACAUCCCUAAGAUACCAAAGGAGUAAUCCGCUGAAUGAUGGACUCGCGUCCGAUUAGAUAGUUGGUGAGGUAACGGCUCACCAAGUCGACGAUCGGUAGCCGGACUGAGAGGUUGAACGGCCACAUUGGGACUGAGAAACGGUCCAGACUCCUACGGGAGGCAGCAGUGGGGAAUAUUGGGCAAUGGGCGAAAGCCUGACCCAGCGACGCCGCGUGAAGGAAGACGGUCUUCGGAUUGUAAACUUCUUUUAUAAGGGACGAAGUAUGACGGUACCUUAUGAAUAAGCCACGGCUAACUACGUG
rnacentral:rRNA from 1 species